rnacentral:rRNA from 1 species
UACGAGGGGGGCAAGCGUUGUUCGGAAUUAUUGGGCGUAAAGGGCGCGUAGGCGGCGCCACAAGUCACUUGUGAAAACUCUGGGCUCAACUCAGAGCCUGCAAGCGAAACUGUGGUGCUGGAGUAUGGGAGAGGUGCGUGGAAUUCCCGGUGUAGCGGUGAAAUGCGUAGAUAUCGGGAGGGACACCUGUGGCGAAGGCGGCGCACUGGACCAUAACUGACGCUGAGGCGCGAAAGCUAGGGGAGCAAACAGG